GAAGGCGAGCACUCUAGACGAACUGCCGUUGACAAAACGGAGAAGGUGGGAUGACGUCAAAUCAUCAUGCCCCUUAUGUUCUGGGCUACACACGUGCUACAAUGGCCGGUACAGACGGACGCAAAGCCGCGAGGUGGAGCAAAUCCUAAAAAGCCGGUCUCAGUUCGGAUUGCAGGCUGCAAUUCGCCUGCAUGAAGUCGGAAUCGCUAGUAAUCGCAGGUCAGCAUACUGCGGUGAAUACGUUCCCGGGCCUU
rnacentral:rRNA from 1 species